rnacentral:rRNA from 1 species
UACGGGGGGAGCAAACGGUUGUUCGGAAUCACUGGGCGUAAAGGGCGCGUAGGCGGCUUGUACAGUCAGACGUGAAAUUCCUGGGCUCAACCUGGGGGCUGCGUUUGAUACGUGCGGGCUUGAGUUCGGAAGAGGGUCGUGGAAUUCCCAGUGUAGAGGUGAAAUUCGUAGAUAUUGGGAAGAACACCGGUGGCGAAGGCGGCGACCUGGUCCGAUACUGACGCUGAGGCGCGAAAGCGUGGGGAGCAAACAGG